rnacentral:rRNA from 1 species
CCUGGCGGCCAUAGCGCCGUGGAACCACCUGAUCCCAUGCCGAACUCAGAAGUGAAACGCGGUAGCGCCGAUGGUAGUGUGGCAUUCGCCAU